CGCCUCUUGAAUUAAUAUAAGAGGUCCAGCCUGCCCAGUGACCAUGUUUAACGGCCGCGGUAUCCUAACCGUGCGAAGGUAGCGUAAUCACUUGUUCUUUAAAUGAGGACUAGUAUGAACGGCAUCACGAGGGUUAUACUGUCUCCUUUUUCCAAUCAGUGAACCUAAUCUCCCCGUGAAGAAGCGGGGAUAAGAUUAUAAGACGAGAAGACCCUAUGGAGCUUAAAACAUUACAGCACCUGCUAAAGACCUAACAAUUUCAGAAUUUUCACUUUUUAAGCACCAUGACUGUAAGUUUUUGGUUGGGGUGACCACGGAGCACAAUAUAACCUCCAUGUUGAAAGAACACUUCUUCUAAGCCAAAAAUCACACUUUUAAGCAUUAAUAAAUUAACAUCUAUUGACCCAAUAUACUUGAACAACGAACCAAGUUACCCUAGGGAUAACAGCGCAAUCCACUUCAAGAGCUCCUAUCGACAAGUGGGUUUACGACCUCGAUGUUGGAUCAGGGUUUCCCAGUGGUGCAGCCGCUACUAAAGGUUCGUUUGUUCAACGAUUAAAACCCU
rnacentral:rRNA from 1 species